rnacentral:lncRNA from 1 species
GGUAACCUAUGUUCCACCAAGUCUCUAUCUAAACCAGGCAUUUGUUCAUAUUCCCAAGCAAAACAAUCUUUGUACUCUUUUAACAAAGCGAUUAAUUUGUUACUAACCUCUUGGUCGAGCAUCUGGCUGAUGAACGUUGGGUGAUCUUCUCCUUCAUCGCCAAUAUUUACUUUGAUCAGAGGGUCUUGUGCUUGAGCGUAUCCAGGUUUGGCAAUCCGCAUCACUUCGUCGUCCAGUUCUUUUGUAAGUACUUCCUCUUCCAAACAGUCCACCUUGUUGACUUCUCGGCCAAUGCUUUGCUCUAACUCGAAUACUGCCAACUUGUCCUUCAGCGCUUUUAGGGCAGUCUCUUCCUUCGCUUUGUCAUUGCAUUCCUUAUUGAAAGCCAUCAGUCUGGCUUUGAAGGCCUGAAUGUCGGCCAUUCGCUUUUGUAACUUAAAGUCCAUUCAAGACUCCUUUAUUAUUCU